CACUUUCAAUCCCAGCUGCUGGGAGUCUCCUUCCAUAAGGAUUUUGGAGCUGCCAACAGCUCUGUCCUGGUUUUUUCUCCUGUCACUUCCAGGUGCCAGUACAAACCUGACAGCAGGGACAGCUGUGGGGUCACUCCCUUCAUGGACGCUCUGCAGAACGGGCACGUCGGCAUCGCCCGGCUGCUGCUGGACAAACACCAGCUGUGGAUGCUCUGGGAGCCCAGGCCCUGCACAGGGCAGCUGUGACAGCCCAGGAUGGCUCCAUCCAGUUCCUGGUGUCCGAGCUGGGCGUGGAUGUCAACGCGAGAGCGACGUCCCUGCAGCUGCCAGCCCUGCACUACGCAGCCAAGGAAGGACAUGGACACACCAUCCAGACCCUGCUGGCCCUCGGUGCUGAUCUCCAGGCUAAGGAUGGGAAGGGCCGUUCUGCUCCCUGAAACAGAACCAUCCAAGGAAAGUGCCACUUCCAGGGAUCCUCGUGGCUUUUCCUGGGAAUUUCCACACCCUGAACAUCCCCAUGGAGUAGAUCCACCUGGAUCAUGGAGGUUCUAGCUCUUCAUGGACCUGCUUUCCACUAAUCCCUUAAAUUGCUUUAAUUUCCAAUUCAAUGUGUAAUUUGACCUCUUUGGGUCGGACAGAGACUCUUGAAGCUGCCUCAACCUUUUUGUAGCCCACAGCUGAUCCCCAAACCUGCAGGAAUCUGUAGUGGGACCUCACCCUGAUGAGGACAUCGGGGAUCUCUGGAAUAAGGAGGUGUUUCAUUCCAGACUGGAAUGCUGGGCAAUUCCCAGCACUGAUAAACUUUAAAUCCCAAUAAUCUGCUCUUGGAAGCCCGGAAUACCCAGCAAGGUAAGAGCAGCUGCAGCUGUUGGGUUUGUG
rnacentral:lncRNA from 1 species